AUUGAACGCUAGCGGGAUGCCUUACACAUGCAAGUCGAACGGAGUGGCGAACGGGUGAGUAAUGUCUCGGAAUGUGCCCAGUAGCGGGGGAUAACUACGCGAAAGCGUAGCUAAUACCGCAUACUAUCAGAGCGGCCGUUGUCGGAUUAGCUAGGUGGUGGGGUAACGGCCUACCAAGGCGACGAUCCGUAGCUGGUUUGAGAGGAGGAUCAGUCACACUGGGACUGAGACACGGGCCAGACUCCUACGGGAGGCAGCAGUGGGGAAUUUUGGACAAUGGGGGAAACACUGAUCCAGACAUGCCGCGUGUGUGAUGAAGGCCUUCGGGUUGUAAAGCACUUUUAGAAGGAAGGCGGUACCAGCAGAAUAAGCACCGGCUAACUACGUGCCAGCAGCCGCGGUAAUUC
rnacentral:rRNA from 1 species